AACCCCGCGAGGCAGGGUGAGGGGCGCCACCGAGGAAGCGCCCAUUGGGCUCCCGGGGCUGCCAGGCCCCGAAUUGAGGAAGUUGACUGCCAGAUCACACUCUCUUGGCCCACGCUGCAAAACUCAAGGCACAAGAUACGCGAAAUGGGUAGAAAGGAUUCUGCAAGCAAUUAUUGUAUUCCGACAAUGUGCAAACUCAUUGCUAGAGCCAGAUACUGUGACACUGUGAGAUUUUGCAGCAGCGAUGAUGUAUAUGGGAAGACGCUUAAAAACCAUAAGAGAUAGAUUCCAUUCAUCCUUUCUAAUGUCUACACCAUAUUUUGGAUAACAUGCCAUCAUCUCACAUUGUGUUGAAAGAAGAAACCAGAAUGUUGGGGGCUGCUCAAAUAAUUAUUGGUCUGAUCCACUGUGCUCUGGGAAAAACCUGGAUACAUUUAUAUAUUAAUCAAUCUACUUCAUUUUCAACAAUCUACUUGCCUAUAGUCUUUAUGUCAGGAUUCCCAUUUUUGGCAUCCUCACUUUAUGUUAUAUCAGGAAUUUUUGCAAUAGCAGCAGAGAAGAAACGUUCACCAAGGUUGUUGAUGUAUGCCAUAUGGAUGAAUUUAAACAGUUUUGGCUGUGCAAUAAUUGGUUUACUUCUAAUUGCAUGUGAAAUUAUACUCUUUUUAACGAAAGAUGAAAAUAUUCAGUGGCCACAUAAAAGUGGAAUCAUGCUUUCAAUGUAUUUGUGGGUAUUCUCCACCUUGGAGUUGAUCUUGGCAAAUACAGUGACCAGAUGGAUAAAAAAAGCAAAUCAUCAUGACAACAAUACCACGUAAUGUACCCAGUAACAGAGGGAGCAAAGCAAAUCUUGUCCUCAAAGAACUGCAGCUGCUUGUUAGAUCUACCUGGUGGUUCCAUAGAGAAACUCCUCAGAGAACCUGCCUUUACCUCGCCUAAAAUAGAACUAUCCCGGAGCUCAGAAAAGGAGUCCACUCAUCCUCUAUAACUGCUAUACAAUAUCUUUGUUAAAAUGCCGAGAAGAUUUAUCCUAAAAGAAGGCACCAAAGCAAUGGGGGCUGUGCAAAUAAUGAUUGGCCUGAUUCACAGUGCACUGGGAACUCUCUGGAUUCAUUGGAUUUUGCUAAGAGAGGAUUCAAGUGGUUCUGGUCCUAUCCCUAUAAUUGCUGUAGUAAUUUACUCAUUUUUGUCGUCAUUUUUUGCACCUCCAAAAGGCACUUCAAGUUCGUUUUACCUUAAUUGCCACAACAACCCCAUGAGAUAGCUAUCGUUCAUCGCCAUUUGACAAACAGGGAAACUGAGGCUUGGAGAACUUAAGUGACUCUCACAGAGUGACACAGCAAUAAAGUGUCAGAGUUCAUCAACUCAGGAUCCAGUAGUGUAAUACAGAAGCCUGUUACAAGAUAUAAGCUUACUUUAGCAAUUGUAAUGAACAGCAUAACUAUUUGUGUGACUACACUUGGUAUAAUUCUAUUAAGCACUGAGAUUGCAACUUUUGCAUUAAAUGCAACUACAUACAAUUGGUCAAACAUGGUUGGUAUGCUGCUUUUACAAUAUUUACUAUUCUGCACCAUCUUAGAGAUGACCAUUGUAAUCAUAAUCAUCCAGUGGGUUACAAGAGCAUUUCAUCAUGAAAAACACACUGAAGAAAGCACUUCACCCUCAGAAAUCUCACUGUCAGAAUCCUUGGAAAUCACACCACGCACAACUUCUAUUUCUUCAUAAUUUGCAAAGAACCAGUGUGACUCCAGUCAAGAACAAAAGAUUAAUUGUGAAUUAGCAAAGAACUCUAAUUUUUUCAAGAGGCCACAUGGAAAACGCAUUCUAAUGAAGUCCUUUCCAUUGCUCUUUUUUCUUAGUUCUUCAAUAAAGCAUGAGAUUUGAUCACAAAUUGACUCUUCCCUUUUUAAAAGCCAGUAUGGGUUAACAUGGAUAAAUACAGCCCCUGCAAUCCCUGUGGUUGAGCGGAUGUAGGAGAGUAGUGUUGAAUGCCCACUUUAUCUUAGGUUGGAGGAGACUGGCUUGAAUUAAGGAACUCGUUCAUCCAAGAGGAGAAAAUACUCUGAUUUUGGAAGUUGGCAUAAUGUUCAUGUGAUAAUGUCAAUACUCUUGCUCUCUCUGUAUUUUUGUUUUCUCAUCUGUAAAACAGAAAUAAUAGUCUCUAACCCACAGAGUAGAUGGGAGGAUUAAAUGACAAUAUAUCAUUAAAAGAGCUUACAACAGCUCCUA